rnacentral:lncRNA from 1 species
AACAUAAUUCACCUUGAGAAAUUAUUAUUUUUUAACUAAUAUUUAUUGGAAAACUUCAACACAAAUUAUUUGCUAAAUAAACCUGAUGAAAAUCUCAUAACUUCAUUCAAGUUCGCAUAUAUUUUGCCUGUGUGGCCUUUGUUUUGUGUACCUAGAAUGAUUACAAGGUAUGAUUUGUUUUCAUCCUGGUCAACAAUUUAACAGCUGUGGGACCCAUUUGUUGUAGGAGAAGAAUUGCAUGUUUUAACUGCUGAUUAGACUACACAACCAGAAAUAAAUAAGCUAAAUGAAGUAUGUUAGGAUACCCCAGAGAUCAUGAAAUGUGUUUGAUAGGGCUCAGACCAUGCACUUAAGGACAUCCGUCAAGAAAUCAUUGAGAUUCUACCAUAUUGAUGAAAUUGGGAAACCAGGAAGAACUGCCUGUCUUUACUGUUGGGUAGAGUACACAGCCAGAAAUAAAUAAGCUACAGGAAGUAUGUUAGGAUUCCCCAGAGAUCAUGGAAUGUGUUUGAAGGGAUAUGAAUCAGCUUUUUUGUUAUCUUGAAUAGGCAAAAUGGCACGAGAAUCUUCCAACUGGACCCAAAGUCUCUAUUUUUGGUUAGAAAAUAAAACUUAUUUAAUGUUUAUGUUCCAUGACCUGUUUAUUGUUUUAUUAAAUUUUGUCAUACAGUUAUUUAGUUUUAAUAAUUAAAGAGAAAAUUGAUCUAUAGUA